GACGAACGCUGGCGGCGUGCUUAACACAUGCAAGUCGAACGGAAAGGCCCUGCUUUUGUGGGGUGCUCGAGUGGCGAACGGGUGAGUAACACGUGAGUAACCUGCCCUUGACUUUGGGAUAACUUCAGGAAACUGGGGCUAAUACCGGAUAGGAGCUCCUGCUGCAUGGUGGGGGUUGGAAAGUUUCGGCGGUUGGGGAUGGACUCGCGGCUUAUCAGCCUGUUGGUGGGGUAGUGGCUUACCAAGGCUUUGACGGGUAGCCAGCCUGAGAGGGUGACCGGCCACAUUGGGACUGAGAUACGGCCCAGACUCCUACGGGAGGCAGCAGUGGGGAAUAUUGCACAAUGGGCGGAAGCCUGAUGCAGCAACGCCGCGUGCGGGAUGACGGCCUUCGGGUUGUAAACCGCUUUCGCCUGUGACGAAGCGUGAGUGACGGUAAUGGGUAAAGAAGCACCGGCUAACUACGUG
rnacentral:rRNA from 1 species